AGGACGAACGCUGGCGGCAGGCUUAACACAUGCAAGUCGAGCGCCCCGCAAGGGGAGCGGCAGACGGGUGAGUAACGCGUGGGAACGUACCUUUUGGUUCGGAACAACACAGGGAAACUUGUGCUAAUACCGGAUAAGCCCUUACGGGGAAAGAUUUAUCGCCGAAAGAUCGGCCCGCGUCUGAUUAGCUAGUUGGUGAGGUAACGGCUCACCAAGGCGACGAUCAGUAGCUGGUCUGAGAGGAUGAUCAGCCACAUUGGGACUGAGACACGGCCCAAACUCCUACGGGAGGCAGCAGUGGGGAAUAUUGGACAAUGGGCGCAAGCCUGAUCCAGCCAUGCCGCGUGAGUGAUGAAGGCCCUAGGGUUGUAAAGCUCUUUUUAACGGGGAAGAUAAUGACGGUACCCGUAGAAUAAGCCCGGCUAACUUCGUGCCAGCAGCCGC
rnacentral:rRNA from 1 species